UACGGAGGCUGCGAGCGUUAUCCGGAUUUAUUGGGUUUAAAGGGUGCGUAGGCGGGUUAUCAAGUCAGCGGUAAAAUCGUGGGGCUCAACCCCAUCCAGCCGUUGAAACUGGGGAUCUAGAGUGUGCGAGAGGUAUGCGGAAUGCGUGGUGUAGCGGUGAAAUGCAUAGAUAUCACGCAGAACGCCGAUUGCGAAGGCAGCAUACCGGUGCACAACUGACGCUCAGGCACGAAAGCGUGGGUAUCGAACAGG
rnacentral:rRNA from 1 species